rnacentral:rRNA from 1 species
GAGGAUGAACAGCCACACUGGGACUGAGACACGGCCCAGACUCCUACGGGAGGCAGCAGUGGGGAAUAUUGGACAAUGGGGGGAACCCUGAUCCAGCAAUGCCGCGUGUGUGAAGAAGGCCUGAGGGUUGUAAAGCACCUUCAGUGGGGAGGAGGAUUGCGAGGUUAAGAGCCAUGUAAUUGGACGUUACCCACAGAAGAAGCACCGGCUAACUCCGUGCCAGCAGCCGCGGUAAUACGGAGGGUGCGAGCGUUAACCGGAAUUACUGGGCGUAAAGGGUGCGUAGGUGGUUAAUUAAGUUAGAUGUGAAAGCCCUGGGCUUAACCUAGGAUUGAGAUUUAAUACUGAUUAACUGGAGUAUUGGAGAGGGUAGUGGAAUUUCCGGUGUAGCGGUGAAAUGCGUAGAGAUCGGAAGGAACACCAGUGGCGAAGGCGGCUACCUGGCCAAAUACUGACACUGAAGCACGAAAGCGUGGGGAGCAAACA